rnacentral:rRNA from 1 species
UACGGAGGGGGCAAGCGUUGUUCGGAAUUACUGGGCGUAAAGGGCGCGCAGGCGGCUGCUCAAGUCAGGCGUGAAAGGCCUGGGCUCAACCCGGGAAUUGCGCUUGAGACUGGGCUGGCUUGAGUGCGGGAGAGGAUGGUGGAAUUCCCAGUGUAGAGGUGAAAUUCGCAGAUAUCGGGAAGAACACCCGUGGCGAAGGCGGCUCUCUGGGACGGUACUGACGCUGAGACGCGAAAGCGUGGGGAGCGAACAGG